GAGAGCCACACAUCCAGCGGGGGAGGGAAGCGGGGUGUGCCUCUCUCUGCCCCCGUCCCACUUCCUCUCCCCCUGGCGCUCCGGCCCGGCUGCGCUGCCCAGCGGAAGGGGUUUAGCGCCAGCGCCUGCCCCUCUGGCUGCGGAGUGCGUGCGGGACUCGGGACAUGGAGGGCUACGGGCUCUUCCUCGUGCUGCUGGUCUCGGCGCUGCUGCUCGGCUUCCUCUCCGUGCUCUUCGCCCUCGUCUGGGUCUUUCAUUACCGGGAGGGGCUCAGCUGGGACGGGGGCUCGGCGGAGUUCAACUGGCACCCGGUCCUCAUCAUCACCGGCUUCAUCUUCAUCCAGGGGAUCGCCAUUAUUGUGUACAGAUUGCCCUGGACCUGGAAAUGCAGCAAACUCCUGAUUAAAUUCAUCCAUGCUGGGUUAAAUACCAUAGCAAUGAUUCUUGCAAUUGUUUCUCUGGUAGCUGUUUUUGAUUUCCACAAUGUCAAGAACAUUCCCAACAUGUACAGUCUGCACAGCUGGAUUGGACUGACUGCUGUUAUAUUUUAUACUCUGCAGCUUGUCUUAGGUUUUGCUGUCUUUCUGCUGCCCUUCGCUCCAGUUUCUCUUCGAGCAUCUCUCAUGCCAAUACAUAUUUAUUCUGGCCUCCUCAUCUUUGCAACAGUGAUUGCAACAGCUCUCAUGGGAUUCACAGAGAAACUUAUUUUUUCUCUGAAACCUCCUGCACCUGCAUAUAGCACAUUUCCACCAGAGGCGAUUUUUGUCAACACUCUUGGUCUUUUGAUUGUUAUCUUUGGGGCUCUUGUUUUGUGGAUGGCAACAAGACCCCACUGGAAACGCCCACCAGAACAGAAUUCUAAAAUUCAGCAACCAAAUGGAGGGACACCUGAAGGUACAGAAGAGGAAUCCACUAUGACAGAUUGCAGCAAUACAGAUAAAUCUGAUGUGGAGUUCAAUAGUGAAGCAGCAGCCAGAAAACGAAACCUCAAACUUGAUGAGGUAGGGCAACGGUCUACCAUGUAAAGGGAGUACACAAAAUUGAUGCAGUAUUACAUUAUAAAAAAAUGCUAUUCCUUUCCAGCUAUUGAUUACAUUUGGUAUGUAAACAGGGAAUUUCUAUCAGGCUUGCUUAAUGCAGUUCAGUUUUUCUGCACAACUAGUAUGAGCUGAAAAGGUCUUUAAAAUUCACUAAGAUCCAUAUUUGUCAUGACAGUCCUUAUCGUACCUCUGUUUAAAAGAAUUGAGGACUGGGAUGAAAAAACAUGUUGAGAUUUGUGCCUUUUAAAAAAAAGGUAGUAUGUCUGGAAUAAGGACAGAGUUUUAAAAAGCAUCUAAUGGGAAAAUAAUUUCUACAUCACGUCUUAAUGUAUUGGUUGUUUCUAUGCAGUUCACUAGUUUCUUUAGCAAGUUGUUAUGACUGGGACAAAAUGCUACCCUGAGUUAUGCUGUGAAUGGGCAUGAAGGAGAGUUGUAUAUGCACAGCAGAGUGCAGAAUUUAUCCAUUAGCACACGCCUAUGCUGUUUUAUAAUAUAGUUCCACUUUUGUAAGGGCCUGGUUCUCAAGCUUAUGAGCAUUCUCAAUUCCCACUGAAGUCCAUGAGAACUGAGGUCACUCCGGAAUUUUCAGAAUCACACUAUUCAAAAUUUUUGGCCAAAACGGUUUAAUUAGGAAAGAAAUUAAACAGAAUUUUUGUUGAAAUUUUCACUAAAAUGUCAUGUUUUUGACCAGCUUUUUCCAUUUUUUUUAAUAAGAGUUCAUCAACAUCUUGAAUAGGUUUUAAACCAGCUCUAGGACAUGUAUAGAUUUAUAGCCAGCAUUCACCCUUAUAUACAUGUGAUUGCUACUGAAAUCCAUGUAAGCUACAAGUAAACAUCUAACAGCAGCAUUUGACCUAUCUUGAAAUAUAUGCAGCUUUUACAUUCACUUUAUUAACACAAUUACAAAAACUAUGUAUUGGGUCAUCAAAUCCUUUCCCUUGGCCUCUGGAACCAGUACAGUAUUGUUCUUUAUGGUUGUAUCUUACAAGCUAAUAUUUUGAAGCCUUUUAUUUCUCCAUUUUAAUCUGGAACAGUAAGAUGAGGAAAGCAGUGUCUAAUGGUUUAGGCACAAGUAGAAGUCAGGACAUAUGGUCUAUGUCUACACUUCAAUUAGAAACCAGUGGUUAGUCUGUGCCAGCUGAUUUGGGCUUAUGGGGCUUGGGGUAAGGGGCUGUUUAACUGCGGUGUAGACAGCUGGCAUGGGCUAGCGGCAGGUUUUUAAUUACAGUGUAGACAUACACAUGGAUUCUGUUCCCACCUCUGCCACUGGCUCACUCCAAUCUUAUAACCUCUGUCUUACUUUCUUCAUUUGUAAAUUGAAGAUUUACGUAAUGCUUAACUUAGGCAAUUAAUUUAACAUUUGUAAAAGUGCUUUGCACUUCUAUAGCUUCCUUUGACAAAUCAGUAUUAAUGCAUUACUUUUAUCUAAAAAUCUCUCUCAGAUAUAAUAAAUAGACAUUGCUUUUACUUACUUACAUAAUUCUAGAAGAAUGGAAAACUACUCUAAUAGAAAAAUAAUUAUAGUGGAUGGCUUUAUGUGAUUUCAAGUGUCCAAAGUGAUUAGCCUUUCUCUUGCAAUCUGCUUGUAAGGGUUGCCAAAUUUACUUUUGUAAUACCAGUGUCUAGACCUAAAAUCAUUUUGACAAGUGGCGUAACUAUUUCAUGUUUACCACUAUUCAUGUUGCAAAGAGCUCUGGACUAGAGCUUUGGGCACUAUACCACUUUCCAUUCCUUCUGAAGACUAUUUUCAUUUUGAUUUAUAUAUCAGCUUCUCACAUAUAUUUAAACACAUUAGGAUCCCACAAAUAUUUUAAUCUUUCUAGCUCAAAGUGAUGUAUUGAUGUACAUAGUUUUGAUUACUUAUUGUUAUUUUAGGGCUCCUUUGAGAUAAUAAAGCACCUUGGGUCACAAGCUUGGGUUUGUAAUAACAUUGAAUCAUUUGAGUACAAUACAAGAAAAGCUAGUAUAUUAAUUCUUAGGAAAAUUUCUCUACAGUUCUGUUUUGGUAAACAAGAUUAUAUCCUAGGUUUCUGUAUAACUUACAUAUAUGUCUGACAGAGCUGUGUGCUUGAUCUUAAUUGCUUAGAAAAAGAUUUCUACACACAUUGUUUAAAAAAAACACCCCAUAUUAUUGACAUCUGCCGUUUCCUCUUAGAAAACAUGUGUCUUUAGGAGAUCAAAAACUUCUACACAUUUUAAUGUAGAAUUGAGAUAUGAGAAUGGAAAAUACUUUCUUCCCAUUGCCUGAUCAGACCUCCAGUACCACUCUUUGUAAAAGAGAGGACUGUUGCUUCCGUCUUUUUAAAGUGUACCCUAGGUGUGUCUAUAUUUCCCAAGACAAUCUGGAUUCACUAAGAAUCCCUCUGUAGUCUGAGUCUAAAAUCAAGAAGGCACUCUGCAUUCAUGGUAAUGUUUGUUAAGAUGAGAGGAAAAGUGAGGAAAUUUAGAGCGCUUGUUAAAGUUCACUGUGACCAAUUUAUAUGUCCUUGAAGUUACUGCAUCCUAGUAUGGCUAUACAAGCUACGCAUUAGAAAGGAAGGGUCGCCGUAAUUUAUACAAUGUGAUAAAUUGCACCGUGUUUGAUCAGAUUAUGAAAAAACCACAGGAAAAAUCUACGGUGUUUUGAAAGGUUGACUUAGUGAGCACCUGAUACCUGAAUAAGGCCCUUAACAAAAACAAAACAACAAAAAUGCUUUAGUGCUUAUGAAAGGUGCCAUCUUAACAACUCUGGAGGCUGGAUUCCUCUGUUUAUCUAUAGAACAGGUACAGCCCAGGAAGCAGUAGUUUUAAAUGUCUACAAACUUGCCAACUAUUGUGUCUCAACCAUCUGUGGAGAUAUGUAAUACAUUUUUAAUAUCCAUGUAAUCCUUCAUGCGCUGUUGAGACUGCACACAAAACACCCACAUUUAUUAGCAAUAUGGACACCUGUCCAGGAAUUGGCCUGGAAUAGACUAAUUUCAUAUGGGACAUAGUACAGUAACUAUUUAAUCACUUUUAACUUGGGCUAUGGUGGAACCAGAAACUUAUAGGUGAAAAGUUCUGCUGUUGCGUGCCUGGAUGCUCUGCAAGGACGAGGCCCACACACACAGGUGAAUUAAUUGGCUUUAAUGAAAGUUAAGUGACACACCCGCAACGGGGACUCCACGCGUUGCUGCCACUGACUUGGGGAGUCCAACGUCCGAAUAGCUUGGUCAGGUGCAAAGUCCAACGCGCAAGCUCCAGCCCAUAGCAAUUAUAGCAUCAUGCUAAUAGCAUGCAAAGCAGCCUCUACAUAUGCAAUGGGGGACUUUCCAACAGCAAUGGCCGCCUCCCCUGGCCUCGGGCCAGGGACUUUCUGCAGUUCCCCAAAACACCGGGGCUUCCCACACAGGGCAGUUCUAACCAGUUAGAAGAAGCAGCUGCUGGCAACUUCUGUCCGCUAAUAACCUCUCCUUGAGAAAGCGCAGGCCCUAGCUAAACCGUAAUAAUGUCUUCUGGGGUCCCCUACAUCUGCAUUCUGUGAACAGCAUAACUUGUUAUACUAGUCACUAUGCCUUUUAUUUUCUAUUUGCUACCUUUACUAUCUAAGGCCUGGUCUAUACUACACGUUUAAACCGAAUUUAGCAGCAUUAAACCGAUUUGAACCCUGCACCCGUCCACACAACGAAGCCCUUUAUAUGGAUAUAAAGGGCUCUUUAAACCAAUUUCUUUACUCCUCCCCAACGAGGGGAGUAGCAUGCAAAUCGGUAUUGCCAUGUCGGAUUAGGGUUAGUGUGGCCGCAAUUCGAUGGUAUUGGCCUCCGGGAGCUAUCCCACAGUGCACCAUUUUGACCGCUCUGUACAGCAAUCUGGAGUCGGAUGCACUGGCCAGGUAGACAGGAAAAGCCCCGCGAACAUUUGAAUUUCAUUUCCUGUUCGCCCAGCGUGGAGAGAUCAUCAGCACAGGUGACCACGCAGAGCUCAUCAGGUAACAAUGCAGUCUCCUGAGAAUCGAAAAAGAGCUCUAGCAUGGACUGGAUCUGAUCGCUGUAUGGGGAGAGGAUUCCGUGCUAACAGAACUCCAUUCCAAAAGACGAAAUGAAAAAACAUUUGAAAAAAUUUCCAAGGCCAUGAUGCAGAGAGGCCACACCAGGGACUCAGUACAGUGCCACGUGAAAGUUAAGGAGCUCAGACAAGCCUAUCAGAAAACCAAAGAAGCAAACGGAAAUUCCUGGGCAGCGCCGAAAACAUGCCACUUCUAUGCUGAGCUGCAUGCAAUUCUAGGGGGGUCCGCCACCACUACCUCACCCCUGUCCGUGGAUUCCAAGGUAGGGGUGGUAAUCACAGCCAUGGCUGAGGAUUCUGUGGACGGGGAAGAUGAGGACGAGCUUGUAGAAAGCACACAGCACUCCGUUCUCCCCAACAGCCAGGAGCUUUUUCUCACCCUGACGGAAUUACCCUCCCAGCGCUCCCAAGCAACUAUCCCAGACAAUGAAGCCAUGGAACAGACCUCUGCUGCAAAUUUUUCAAGCCUCCCUACUUCAUCUUGAAGGCUAUCUCAGAUAAGGCGGCGGGAAAAAAAGACGCGAGAAGAAAUGUUUUCGCAAAUCAUGGAAGUGACCCGCAAUGAAAGAGCUCAUCUGAAUGAGUGGAAGGACAUGGUAGCAAAGUACAGGAAAGAUGCCAGUGACUGUGAGGACAGGAAGGACCAACGUGAGGACAGGAGGGACGAACGUGAGGACAGGAGAGAUGCUCGAGAUGAGAGGUGGUGGCAGGAAGAUCAGUGGUGGUGGGAUGCAACUCUGGGGCUGCUGCGUAAUCAAACUGACAUGCUCUGGCAUAUGAUGGAGCUUCGGAAUGGCAGCAGGAUCACAGAGUGCCGCUGCAGCCCCUGUAUAACCACGUCCCCCCUCACCAUGUUCCUUAGCCUCCUCACCCGCCAGACAAGUAAGAACUCGUGGGGGCAGGCUCUGUGCACCCGCCCACUCCACCCCAGUGGACAGCCCAACCAAAAGGCUCUCAUUAUGAUGAAAUUUUUUUAGUGGCCUUUUCCUUCCCUACUAUUCUCCUCCCAAACCCCAUCGGGGUUACCUUACCAUCCCUCUUUUUAUAAUGAAUUAAUAAAGAAUACAUGAUUUUUAAACGAGAGUGACUUUAUUUCCUUAGAAAGCAAGCUGUGAUCGAAGGGGCGGUGGGUGGGUGGCUUACAGGGAAUGAGUCAAUCAAGGGAGGUGAGGGGUUCAUCAAGGAGAAACAAACACAACAAUCACACUGUAUCCUGGCCAGUGAUGAAACUGGUUUUCAAAGCUUCUCUAAUGCGCACCGCUUCCUGGUGUGCUCUUCUAAUCGCCCUGGUGUCUGGCUAUGCGUAAUCAGCAGCCAGGUGAUUUGCCUCAGCCUCCCACUCCAUCAUAAAGGUCUCCCCCUCACUCUCACAGAGAUUGUGGAGCACACAGCAAACAGCAAUAACAAUGGGGACAUUGGUUUGGCUGAGGUCUGAGCGAGUCAGUAAUGUGCGCCAGUGUGCCUUUAAAUGGCCAAAGGCAUAUUCUAUCACCAUUCUGCACUUGCUCAGCCUGUAGUUCAACAGCGUCUGACUACUGUCCAGGCUGCCUGUAUAUGGCUUCAUGAGCCAUGGCAUCAAGGGGUAGUCUGGGUCCCCCAGGAUAACUACAGGCAUUUUAACAUCCUCAACUGUUAUUUUCUGGUCUGGGAAGUAAUUCCCUUGCUGCAGCCAUUUAAACAGAAUAGUGUUCCUGAAGACGUGAGCGUCAUGAACCGUUCCCGGCCAUCCCACGUGGAUGUUAGUGAAACGUCCCUUGUGAUCCAGCAGUGCUUGCAGCACCAUGGAAAAGUACCCCUUGCGGUUUAUGUAGUGGGUGCUCUGGUACUCUGGUGCCAAGAUUGGGAUAUGGGUUCCAUCUAUUGCCCUACCACAGUUAGGGAAUCCCAUUGCAGCAAAGCCAUCCACUAUGACCUGCACAUUUCCCAGAGUCACAAUCUUUCAUAGCAGCAGCUUAGUGAUUGCUUUGGCUACUUGCAUCACAGCAGCCUCCACAGAUUUGCCCACUCCAAAUUGAUUCCCAACUAACCGGUAGCUGUCUGGCGUUGCAAACUUCCAGAGGGCUAUUGCCACUCGCUUCCCAACUGUGAGAGCUGCUCUCAUCUUGGUAUUCUGGCGCUUCAGGGCAGGGGAAAGCAAGUCACAAAAUUCCAUUAAAGUGCCCUUACGUAUGUGAAAGUUUCGCAGCCACUGGGAAUCGUCCCACAGCUGCAACACUGUGCGGUCCCACCAGUCUAUGCUUGUUUCCCGGGCCCAAAAUCGGCAUUCAAUUAUUAGAACCUGCCCCAUUACCAGCAGGAUCUCCAAAGCGCAGGGGUCCGCAGUUUGAGAGAAUUCUGUGUCCAUGUCCUCAUCACUCUUGUCGCCGCUCUGCUGUAGCCGCCGCCUCCUCACCUGGCUUUGCAGGUCCCGGUUCAGCAUUGACUGCACGAGAAUGCGCGAGAUGUUUAAAACGUCCAUGAUUGCUGUCUUGAGCUCAGCAGGGUCCAUGCUUGCCAUGGAAUGGCAUCUGCACAGUUCACCCACGAAAAAAGGUGCAAAACGGUUGGCUGCUGCUGCUUUCAUGGAAGGAGGAGUGAGGUUGUACCCAGAAGCACCAGUGGCAAUGUUUUUUGCCCCAUCAGGCACUGUGAUCUCAACUCAGCAUUCCAAUGGGCGGGGGAGACUGUGGGAACUAUGGGAUAGCUAUGGAAUAGCUACCCACAGUGCAACACUCAGGAAAUCGACGCUAGCCUCGGUACAUGGACGCACACCGCCGAAUUAAUGUGCUUAGUGUGGCCACGUGCACUCGACUUUAUACAAUCUGUUUUACAAAACCGGUUUAUGUAAAAUCGGAAUAAUUCCGCCGUAUAGAUGUACCCUAAGAUUAACUUGAAAUUAGUUGUAAUUAUACUGUUUAAAAGAGUAGUAUCACUUUUUCCCCUUCCUAUGAAAUACAUUACACAAUCUCUCAUUCUAAACUGAUAAUAAAAUAACAUUUCUAUCCCAAUUCAAAAAAGCUUCUUUUAGUUCCUUCCUGGAAAAAUAUCUUUAAAAUAAAGCUGCUUUAAGGACUGAAGAAAAAAAUAUUCACCGUUUAAAUUAAUUAAUUCCUAAAAGGCAGUGGAACUCUCACAUCCUAAUUUAAAUUAUUACAUUGUAUGUGGAGGAGGUUACUUACCUCUCAUCCUAGGAUAUAAUAGGGUAUUUCUCAGAGCAGUUUGUCAAGAAAUAUGCAUCACAGACAUGUUAAAUUGUACAUCAGAUAAAUAAACUGCACAUAUUCUUGCUCUGUUUGAAAUGUUGUAAAUACGUAACUUGUCUUACCUCUAGUAAAAUGUGAUGUGCAAAAACAAGUUCAAGUCUUGAAGCAAUAUGGAAGCCGAGGGUCAUUUUCAAAGGCACAAAUGGGAGUUAAGACCACAGCUCCCACUAACUUUCACCUGGAUGCCUAACUGCGUUUGAAAAUGUCCCUCUAAACUAUUAGGCUUUUAAAGGGAGACUGUCACAGAGCUUCGAUGCCAACUUUGGAUUUGUGUAAAAAUAUAUAUAAAUAGGGAGCAGGGAAGGCUACAGAACCUAAAAUAAACAAGUAUUUUCUUUUAAAUUUAAUGAAAACAAGGUAACUUUUAAUGUAUUUAAAUACUUUUCUGCAGUACUGGGCAUUGAGACAUGACAACAUUUUGUUCCUCAUGAAUGCAACUGAACAAAAGGGGAACUGAGAACUAAAUUCACUCUCCUGAGUGAACCAGCAAUAGACAGCACACAUUAUUGAAAAUUAGAUUUAAAAAUAAAUUCUAUUUUGAAUAUUUAAAGUGGUGGUAAUGAUUUUUAAGCUAAAAUGGAGUUGAAUAAAACCAAAUAGCUGAAUGUACAAUAAUUACAUGUAAAUUUCUCUGCCAAAGAUAAUGAAGACGAUUGCAUAUGAUAUUGUAAAUAAGGAUUAACAAUGUACAUGAAAAUUAUAACCUGGGAUUUUAGUGAGAUGGUAAAAGAAUAUUACCAAAAUAUUUUCUAUUUCAUAAGAUUUCUUUACUCUAUUUCAGCCUAUUUAUUAGGAACUGAAGCAACGGAAUGUUUUAUCAUUUGCAGUGCUUAUUUGUAGAGGAAAAGAAAACUGUUUUAUCACAAUGUAUAUUUCCUUACUCUUUUUUGUAUGUCAAUAAAAACUAUUUUUGAAGCUUGCAA